CUUUCUUUUUUUUUUUUUUUCAUUCCCGAGGUUUUUUGGUUUUGUGUCUGCCAUGCAGAGAAGCAUCCCCAUCCAGGUGCGCCCCGUCGGGGUCCGGUACCGGCGGUGGGAGCUGUGACUUCUCGCCAGCUUCUUGGAGAGCCCACUCCCCGCCGGGAGCUCAGUGCUGUCUGUCGGAUAAUGGGGCGGUGGGACUUUGUUUAACCCCGUUGCCCCUGGGGCCAGGGGUCAAGGGCUUCCUCUUCCCCCGGGACACGGCGGAGACGCCGUUGGUCACAACAGGAGGAGCGCGGCGAAGAGGGGGAAGCGGUGGCCGCAGUGUCCCCCUGUCCCCGCCGCGGCCCUCCCGGUGCCACCGGCGUGGAAUCCCGUAAAGCUCCUUCUCUCCCCGCACCGAGAGGCUGAGAAGGGCUCCUGAUGGGUGUUUUGGGGGAGCAGGUGGAGGCCAAACAUCACCACGGGGCAGCGGGUGAUGAUGCAGAGAGGCAGCCCCUGCUUUCCAGCAUCCCCCGGUUCUGCUUUCCCCUCCCAGCUGGAGCAGGACGUUCUGAACGGGGUGCCGCUUUUAGCGGUGUUUCACCCCCUCCCUCCACAGGUAGAGAUGUCUCAGCUGCCCCCCCGGAGCCAAGAAACGGGAGAAACGGGCAAUUUUUAUAGGUGACGUACGGGCUUACGUGGAAAUCCGUGCCCAGCACUGCUCUUUCAGCUUCUUUUUCUCCUGAAAUAACCCUUCCGAGAAGCUCGUACCCCCCUAUUCCAGCUCGCAACCCCUUUUUCAGGCUGGGGAGGAGUCGGGAAAGAGGGAAGGAAAAGAGACAAGAAAAGGACCCCAACAUCCCGCUCUUCCCCUGCUCGGGAAGCGAGCCCCGGAGCUCCCAAAGUGAGCGCUGAAGAGGGCGACAGGAGACAGGCGGGAGCCGGCUCCGAGCUGGAGGGGUCGGGGGUGGGAUGAGAGCAGAGGAGGACCCUCCUUUUCGGGAUUAAGGGAGAACCAGCGAAGGAGGGAAGCUGGCGGCACCGCGGGCAUCCGAGGUAAGUCCCUCUCCUGCCCGCAGCGGUGGUACCUGAGGCAGGGCGCUGCUGCGGGGGAUGCUUUGGGGGUUCAGAGGAGCCCGAUCCCGGGGGUGCCCAUUCCCGGGGCUGCCCCAGCACAGCCACCGGGCUCUGCGGGGCCGGGGCUGCUUUGGCGGCUGUGGGAUCGGUGCCGUUUAUCCCGGCCCGGGCGCUGCCGGCAGCCCCUGCCCCGCUCCGUGCCCGCUCCCUCGGGGUUGGGUCGGGGUCCCCCCGGGCCGAGCAGCCCACGGAUCCCGCUCCCAGCCCCCGGGGCUCCUCCCGUGCGUGUCUCAAUUCGCUCAGGCUUGACUUGGCAAUAAGCUCUCUCAAUAGGGUGACAAUAGAGCCCCGGUGGGACCCGAACAAAGAAUUUGAAAGUAGUUAAAUUGCAGGACACGUCCAUCGCCUGGGUGCUUGAAUUUAAAAAAAAAAAAAAAAAAAAAAAGAAAAAAAGAAAAAGAAAAAAAAAAGAAAAAAAAAGAAAGAAAAAAUCAGAGAAAAGAAAAAGGAGAGAGACUUUUCUUUGGGCUGGUGAGAAAAUGCUCAGGGUAAAAGUUGGUUUGGCGUCUUCAUUUCAGCGACAAUGGAGCAGAGCUAAUUCAAUAGGAAACGCGGGGAUUUUUUAAUGAAAAGACCGCCGGGGUUACACCGAAGUUAAGCUCUUGUGAAUUAAUUAUUAGGGCAAAUAAACUGGGAGGGGGGGAGCACUCGGGAGGGAGUGUUGCAAUUUCUUAAUAUUCUCCUUUUCGUGUUUAACGACAAUGCCAUUAGGUUUUCGACUCUGGGUGAGCAAAAGGAUUUUCUUGCACUCCCCGGGAAGAGGAGAAGACGUGCUUUUUUUUUUUUUUUUUUUUUUUUUUUUUUUUUUUUUUUAAUGGUGUUAAUUGCUUUUAAAAUAAAAUUCUACAGAAUUUGGCAACGAGCUCCGAUUUCUGCUGGCGGUGGCAUUUGGGGUUGUAUUUCCUUUCGUGGAAACUCGCAGAUGCAAAAAAGGAAAAUAACGGGGAAAUUUAAAAACACGAAUGUAAAGGCGAGGCGGCGUGUUCGGCUAUUGCAGAUCUCUCGGGCUCGAUCGGUUUAUUUUUUCCUACAUAGAAAACCUGUCUGGGGAUCCCUGUGUAUUCAUCGGGGCGGCGAGAGACUCCCCAGAGCCGCUCCGGGGCAUCGGUGGAGUGAAUCGGAGAUAAAAAUUAGGAGCCAGGUUAAACGCAGGAAGGAAGAGGAGAGGUCGGAAGCGAAGUAAAGCUCCUGGCCGCCCUGCCCCGGCCGUGCCCGCACCUUGGAGCGGACGGACGGACGGACGGAUGGCCGGCAUCCCCGACGGAGGGAUGUUUCUGUCUUUGGUUAUCUAGCUGUAUGAGUGUUGUGGAGCCAUCAUAAAGCUAGAUAACCGAAAGUAGAAAUGACUUCCAGACCUGCUCGCCCAGGGGAAGCGGCCGCACCGGGACCGGCAGUGCAGAGACGGCCCGACUCGCCGCCCUGGGGGCUCCAGGGCCAGCAAAGCACCGCCAUAACCACAGUAAGGAAAAAGGAUCUCAGCCUGAAUUUGGCUAUACCGGGAGAAAGAAAAGUUCUGAGAAGCUGUUAUUAUAUAUAUUCUAAUGAGAAGUCAUUGGAGAAAUUAAAAAGGGCAGAGAAAGACGAAGACGCCAGCGCUAAUUCCGCAGGAAGCCUCCCAGGGAAAAGGCUGUGUGAGUGUGAACGCUGAAAAGCAUGAAGGCCUGGAAUUAGACUAUCAUUUAGAAAGCGUUACUAAUCCGAAGUUACAGCAGUAAUUCCAUGAUUUGCUGGGUCCCACACGCAGCGCCAGAAUUAAAGAUACGGAUUUUCUAGAAAUGUAACUCAACUGUGGCACCGAGUCUCGGCAAGAUCCGAAUGAAUCAUUCAUUCCAAAGGCAGCGAAAGACGUGUCAUUAAGAACCAACCUCCUUCUCUCCAGCCCAUCUGGAAUAUGUAUACUCGAUGCAAUCCCAGAAAUUGUGGAAGAGAUCGGAGACAUGACUGAGAGUUCGUGGAGUGGGAUGCCUUGGGAAGGGCUGGGACGUCUCCACCUGAGCAAGGAGAGAUCCCAGUGAGAGGACAAGGGACUUUUGAAGCCUGUGAGUUCCUUCUUCCAGCUGGCUACCACCUGCCUGGACUUGCCAUUUGACUUCUCCGAGUUUCUCCAGGAGGGUCCCAACCUGCUUCUCCAUGGGCCCCGAAGAGGAGACAGCUUUGUCUCGUGAACACAGUGGAUUUCUGGACUUUGAAACACAGCGGUGCAGCCAUAGGGAGGGAGCCAGGGCAACACAGGGAGCCAAGGGAUCAUCCCACAUCACUCCUGUAUGUUGCCUACAGUGCCCUCAAUACCCCAGAGCAGGAACAAAGUGCUUAGGCAGAGAGACCUGAGCCAGUCACUGUCUCACCUGGUGAAAUACCAGGUGUGUGAAGUUUGGAGGGAGCUUUUGGCCCCCAGCUUUGCUCAUGGAGCAGAGCUCAGCCCUUGCCGCUCUUGAUCCCUGGGUCUGUGGAGCUGUGGGAGUGCAGCCUUCCCGAAGGCACUGUGCUUGGGGCCCAGAGGACCAGGAGAUUUUCCAGGCCAGGCAGCCCUGCUGCUGUUGUACUGCACCCUCUCUGUUCAUGUACUGCCUGUAUUCUCUCCCAUUCAAAUCCUCCCAACCCCAUGCACUGUUGAAAAUAAACUCUCUCUUUUGCAAAA